rnacentral:tRNA from 1 species
CGUUCGGAAGCUCAUUGGUAGAGCAAUCGGCUUCGGCUGAUUGGUAGCGGGUUCGACUCCCGCUCGAACAU